AACGAACGCUGGCGGCAUGCCUAACACAUGCAAGUCGAACGGGAUCCUAGCUUGCUAGGUGAGAGUGGCGGACGGGUGAGUAACACGUGGGAAUCUGCCUUUUGGUUCGGGAUAACCGCGGGAAACUGCGGCUAAUACCGAAUGCCCUCGAGAGAGGAAAGAUUUUAUCGCCAGAAGAGGAGCCCGCGUCCGAUUAGGUAGUUGGUGGGGUAAAGGCCUACCAAGCCGACGAUCGGUAGCUGGUCUGAGAGGAUGAUCAGCCACACUGGGACUGAGAUACGGCCCAGACUCCUACGGGAGGCAGCAGUGGGGAAUAUUGGACAAU
rnacentral:rRNA from 1 species